UUUGUGGAGCGAAGCCCAUUUAACUACAAACCGGACGACCCUAAUCCCCGUUAUCCCAUCUGCCGCCGUCUUCUUCCUUUCUCAAUCCAGAUCCAAUCUUCGCCUCCCCUCCGCCGCUCCUCCCCCUCAACCCCCACGCUCCCACUCCCAUCCACCUCCGCCGCCCUAACCAUCGACGCAACAACCGCCCCCACCGACGGCCUCGAGUCCUCGGAGUAAGCCCCUGCAGCGCCCGUGGUGGCAGAGGAGCUGCCGCCACCGCAGGCAGUCGGGCCCGGGAGGUGGAGCCUCUGCACGAGCAUUCGGUCUGGUGAAGCAACAGGACGACCCGCCUGUAGAACUCUGUGCGCCUUCUCUUCUGGACCCUCUCAGCUCGUCUAUGGCGUGAUCUCCGCUGGAGCUGCCGCGUUUCCUCCCGGAUGCUAUGCUCCUGAACGCGGCCAACCCCUCCAGCUCGUUGGUGCCUGCGUCGCCACCUUCUUGUCCCUCCUCGGUUGCCCACCGCAGUGGGAGCAGAGGUGCAGCCCGGCCGCGACGGACAUCUCCUUCUCGCGCUCCUCGCGCCUCCCGGCGUCUGCUCGUCAUCGUCAACCACCACUGCGAGCAAGCCAACCACCACGGCAACUGGAUCUGCCAUGAGGAGGACUAUCCUCCAUGGCCAACCCUCGGCCUGCCUCACCGUCAGAUCUGCCAUCCAGAGGCUCCACCCGCGAAUGGUCGAUGGAUGCAGGGGUUCACCGGCCACCUAGAUGACAACGAGCACCGUGAGGAGAUCCCCUUUUCCAGUGAACUUGCUAGUGAAGAACUAAUAACUUACUAAGAUAAUGGACACUUCAGUCAGUCUGUUUGAAUUUUGUGUUAUAUAGAUCAGCACCUUCUGUGAUUUGGGGGCACUUUUAUGUGCAUAGAUACUUGGCACUUUGAGAAAUAUUCCAGCAGCUUUUUUGUGCAGGUGCAACAAGUCAGUUUUAGUAUCAACACUUUGAGAAAUAUAAAAUUCUAGUGCAACCUGUAUUUGCAUUCUGAGUUAGCUGCUUGAUUAGAUGCAUGCAUGCGUGCUUUAGAAAAAUACAUAUGCACAUGUGAAAUGGCUGCAUUGUUAAGGUCCAGUUCCAAACAAAUUUUGGCGGAAUUCAUUUAGUUAGUGUUGAUGCCAAGCUGAAAGAUAUUUUGGCAAUUCAUUCAGUUCCAUUCUUUGUCAUAUUUUGCAGCUUCAGGUGCUCAAUCAUGCCACUAGUUUCGUAGACUGAGAUGGAAAGGAGGGCAUUUCUUGCGGAAGAUGAACACACGGCAAGGUGUAUGCUAACCUAAGGAAUGCACAUAUCGGAGGUUCUUUAACCAUUAUAACUCUAGCUCUGGGCACUGGGAGAAGUUAAUUGUGAGACUUGAGCACAAGAGAGAGCACUUCAAGAGAUAAAGAGGAAGCAACAAAAAGAUCUGAAUAUGUGAAGAAGAUUCAGCAAGACAAGAGCGAAGCCCGAAAAAGAAGCCACACGAAAUGGAUAAACUGAUUGGCCUUCUCUUAAGGGCUCGAGCAACUUCGUAGUCCCAAUCCAAACUUGUGCAUGAAGGCCAUUGGGGCAACAAUUUUGUGGUCUUUAGUUCACUAAAUAUUAGUACUUUGCAACUUUUUAUUGUCGAGCUUGUGUAUCUGUGUUAUUUCUAUUUAGAGGAUGAUUUGGGUGAGAUAAUGGAAUUUAUAAUAUGAUUUGUCUUUUA